rnacentral:lncRNA from 7 species
AAAGCCCUUCUGGCUGCGUUCACAGACGUUAUGGAGGACCGUGGUGUGCUCGAGGCGGUGGUUGGGUCUCUGCUCUCGGCCAUACAGCAUAAUAGUAUUUAGAGCUUCCAGCACAGAGUCUGAAUUUACAGCCUGGUUUCAGAAAGGACGAGCUAUUAUCAAACCCAUUGUGCAUUUGCGUAUUCAUCAGCCAUAUAGAGCAGAAGCUGACAAAGGGCCGUGCAUGGUUCCCCACCCCCAUUCCUUCCCACAGCAGUUGCCCAUGGGCUGCAGCCUCCUCCUGCGUUUCUCCACACCGCGCUCCUCUCCUGCACGUUCUCUCAUGCACCAGCAGCUGCAUACAGGAGCGUGGAUGAAGUCAUUCCCGCUUCCACUUUUUGCAUCGCACGCUCUCUGACCUCUGUGGCCACACGUGUGCCGUAUGAUGGGCCUUUCCUGACGCGGUGCACUUAUAAACUAACAUUAGUGGCUUUGGUCUGCGUUUAGACAAAGGCGCUUUUGAGAGCAAGGGAGACUUGGUGAGGAGGAUGGGAUGGAAGACUUUAAAUAUUUGAAUGUCGCCGUACUACUUCUAAACUGACAUAGCAGGAUAGAUGCAACUUCUUUAUUAGAGCCUGUUUUUCCACUGGAGGAGGAGGAUGUUUCUGCUCUCUGGGGAAGUGUGGAAGCUCAGCGAGGAUAACCCCGUGACUGCAGAUGAAUACCCGUAUUGAUAAAUCUAGCAACUGAUAACUGAAGAAAUAUGCUUCAAAUUUGAAAUAUGCUUUGCAGAUGAAGUUCAGCUGUCCCAAAGUUGCAUGAAUGAGCAUCCUUUCUGCUUGCAGAAAUCUUGUCAAGGCGUAGUCCUACACAAGGACAGAAGGAGUAUGUCCUACCAGGUUUGGAGUCAGACUUGCCAUCUUACAAAGUCCACAGCCACCCAGGUGACAUGGGCCCGUGUGUUCUGACAACAUCAGAGACCAGUGAUGUCCCAUCAUUCUGUCCAUCCUGGACAGUGUGGAUAACAUGGUCUCAUCUAGAAGGACACAAGGAUGUACACAGCAGCUUCUACAAGUGUUUGGGCACGUUUUGGGCAGUUGUGUGACGACUGGAAGAGAUGAAAUGUCAUGUGUGACCAAAACUGUAUAUAUACUGCUUCUGUGAUGGAGACUGUUACAAACUGCUUCCCAUUAUGCCAUGGGAGCAGGAAGAGAAAUCAUCAGGGAACGGCCAAAUGUUGAAUUCAGUUUUCUGCUGGACUGUGUGUUCAGCUCAGGAAUUGAAUGUCAGCCCUCCUUGAUAUAGAAAUUAAUGGAUUCUCUUUGAAAGGAGAUCAGAGGAGACUGUGUUCAACUGUGUGCCGAAGUGCAGAAAUAUA